rnacentral:tRNA from 1 species
UUAGCUAAAACCAAAAAGAGGUAUAUCACUGUUAAUGAUAAAAUUGAGGCAACCCUCUGGCUAAA